ensembl:lncRNA
AUGCGGCCCAGCAAAGGCCCUUGGCACGUGGGGGGACUGCCAGGAUGGGCAAACCCCCGCGCUGUCCCCACGCGCAGCAGGCGCCCUGCCUGCUGCCGGGCUCUGUUCUGCUGGUUCAGGCACGUGGACUGGCCACGAAAGCAGCUUAGCGGCAUCCCAGGCCGCAGCAGCCUGGCUCCCGGUGCCCUCCCUGCCACGUGCCGAGCGUCCCUGUUCCGGCCCCGCAGUCGCUCGGGGGCAGGAAGGCUGCAAUGGGAAGCAGACAGCUGCUCCUGGGACCUUCCCUGCACCUCGGCCCUGGCUGUUGGACGCCGGGCAGGGGAGCGGGUCGGCGUGCAAAGGGGACACCGCAGCGCCUCUCCUGGGGGGAGCAGCGGGGAAGCCCCAUGGCUGUGGAGGGGACGCAGGCAGGUCACAUCGUGCCGACAUAGAGGACAUGGUUGGGGAUGGUGCUGCAGUCAUUGCCCAGGGUCACCUCGAGGAUCUCGACACCGAGCCCCGGAGGGGUCCGUGCUGGGCCGAGCGCAGCRUUGGGGCCCUGCCCGGCCCCACAUCUCCGUGGCUGGAGCCCCAUGCCGCAGCCGGGACAGCAGCGAAGCCGCGUGGACCCUGCCGCGUCGCCGGCUGGUCCGUGGGAGGGUGCGUCUGGGCGUGGGGACGGCUCCGCAGCCGCUYCCGCUCCUGGCUGCCAUUAACCCCGUUCUGCGUGCCGUUUCCCAGGCCGGGCUGGGCCGUGGGGGGGGGGCGCAGGGGCUCCGCGUCCCUGGCACGACAGGGCUCAGCCCGGCUCCGAGGCCGUGGCAGCCCCGGUGGCCAGGCAGCCUCGUUUGGUGCUGCCGGGGCCGGGCGGGCAGGGCUGCCCGGUGCCGCGGUGGGUGGCAGGUGGAUGCCGGGGUUGUGCAGAGCAGCCCGCGAGCGCAGGCAGGGGGGAGAGAGCAGUCCGGCCCCGGGGCAGGCAAGGACACGGUGCUGGACAGGGUCUCUGGCAGUCUGGGGGUAAUGGGGCUGGAUGGAGCAGCCCCUUUCCAGCUGCACAGCCCCUGUGUGAUGCGCGGGAAGGAUAUGGUGGCCAUGGGCACCUGGUGUGGGAUACAGCUCCCCGUCCAGCCGCCCUCGCGCUGGCCUGGCAGAAGCUCUGGAGGCGGCAGGAUUGCGGUGUCGGGGCUCUGCUGUCUCCCCGGCCCUGCGAGGGGCUGCAGGCCUGGGCUGCCGAGGGCUAGAUCCUGCCCGGCGCUGAGUUCUGGAUGGGGACGGGGGCAGCGYGAGUCCCCAAGCUUGCGCCUGGUGACAUCCCUGAGCUUGCACCUUGCAGGGCCCCUGCGUGCCGGGGGCACCGCGGGCAGGCAGAGGCUGUGCUGGGGCAGGGGUGCGGGCAGGGUCACCCCGAUGUCCCAGCCGGCUCCACCGGAGCAGAGGCGACAAGGGCCGGGGCAGGCCGGGGAGAUGUGGAGGGGCACCCAGCACCCCAGCGCAUCCCCAGGCCUGGCAGGAGCCCCCGAAGGGCCGUCCCUGCGCCCUCGCCCCGACCGGCAAGGCCAGCGCGGUCCCCGAGGACCAGCCUGCACCCCAAGGGGCCGGGGGAGCUUCGGCCGCUGCCGCGCGGCCGGGUCUCCUGCUCGAGCGGGGAAGCGGUUAACGGCCGCGGCGGGGCUGAGCAGCCUGUCCGAGGCCGCGGCGGGUGGGCGGCGCGGCGAGAGUUAA